AAAGUCGUAACAAGGUUUCCGUAGGUGAACCUGCGGAAGGAUCAUUAACAAGUCCACAUAUAUGCAUGUCUCUCUUUUCGGGGAGCGUGCAUAUAUAAGCCCCGUGCAGCAAUGCACGUGUGACACAUUUUAUCGUUUGACUGAUAAUUAUACAAAGAACAAAGAGAAACUUUUAACAACGGAUCUCUAGGCUCUU
rnacentral:misc_RNA from 1 species